CCCGGACGGGACAGAUUUCCGGCUGCUAUGCGCUCCGCCGGGGGUCGCCGAGGUCCCGCUGUUUGUUGGCUUGUGGUCACUGUGGCUGGUGUCGGGACAGGGUCAGGUCAGAACAUGUUCUGAAUCCUCCAAACUUCACAACUAAUUUAAGGCACGUCUUAAGCUGUGUAAUAGGAUACAGACCUACUCUUGGCAAAUGUUACCCAUGUACAGGGGCCCAAGUGCUUGGACCAUCUUCCACUGCUUUCCCAGACCAAAGCAGAGAGCUGGAUCAGAAGAGGAGGAGCCAGGACUAGAACCACUGCCCAUGGAGAGUGCCGGUGCUGCAGACAGAGGAUUAACUUACUGCACCACAGUGCUGAUCCUCAUAUAAUUGAUUUUAAUAUUGAUCUUGAAUUCUGCAAGUAUUUAUUCAUUCUAAUAGAAUUUAGUGCAUUCUUCAUGAUUUUCUAGCUACAAAAUCUUGUCUUCUGUAAUAGAGCUGUUUUGCUUCUUUUGAAAUAUGGAUGCCUUUUCAUUUUGUGUUUUGCUGUCUUGGCUAAUGAAUCCAAUCUGAUGUUGAAUAGAAAUGACAGAGUGUACAUUCUUCUCUUGUUCUUGUUCAUAAGGAGGAAAGCACUAUCUUCCACUUUAUUGGUGAUGUUAGCUGUCAGUUUUUCCCUAGCUACCCACUAACAUAUUAAGGAAGUUUCCUUGUAUGCCUAGAUUUCUGAGUGUUUUUACCAUGAGGUAAAAACCCAGUGUCUACAGUGACAAGAAGCUGGAAUCAGGAGCCAGAACCGAGAGUCAAACCCAGGUGGCACUCAAAACUCUAUGUACCACUCAGACCUCUUAAUUACCAGGCUAAAUACCCAUUCCUGGUGCUCUGUUUCCUAAGGGAGAUUAUGCAGUUUCAAAAAACUAUGUUGCUGUUUCUGCCAUCUUUCAUGAAUUCUGCAUUGUGUGCUGUAAUACAAAUUUAAUA